CCCACACAUACCAUGCUUUGUCUUGUAGCCUGAUUGUCCUCGUCCCAGUGGACACGGUCUCCUGAGUGUAUUUUAUACUUUAGUGUCUUCUGUGUUUGGACUUUUUACCCGCUCAUCUUCCCCCCGUUGGAUUUGUUCAUUGGUUUCAGCUGCUCCGCCUGGUUUUUGGACUUCGCCUCCAUCGUCAUUCCUAUUGGCCACGCUCUAUAUUUAACCAGGAGGUCGCAGCCAAACGAGCGUGGGAGACGCUUCACAGAGACGUGAGCCUGGAAGGAGGUCAACAUGUGCUGCGAGCAGGAGAACGGGAGCUGAAGCAGCGGGAACGUCAGCGGAGGGAGACGGGUUCGAGACCACCAGUGAAACAGACACUCAGACUCUAAUGAGGAUGUCUCCCAAAAAAAACGAACUCUUCCCUCCGCGUUCAAGCUUCUCGUCCACACGAGGUUUUAAUCGGUGCAUUUUGGAAACAAUGACGUCACGGCAUAAUUUGUUCAUGCAACAGUUGAAAUAAUAAAAUCCCUGCUUUUCUGGUAUUUGACGGAUCGCUGAUGUAGACUUUAUCUCCACCUGCUGGCUCGGCAUGUUUGUCUGAGCACACGGGUUAUUUCCCGUAGUUUCCGAUGGC